rnacentral:rRNA from 1 species
UGGGGAAUAUUGGACAAUGGGGGCAACCCUGAUCCAGCGAUGCCGCGUGUGUGAAGAAGGCCUGCGGGUUGUAAAGCACUUUAGUUGGGGAGGAGAGUUUAUUUAGAAAUAGAUAGACGAGACGUUACCCAAAGAAUAAGCACCGGCUAACUCUGUGCCAGCAGCCGCGGUAAUACAGAGGGUGCAAGCGUUAAUCGGAAUGAUUGGGCGUAAAGGGCACGUAGGUUGGUAAAUAAGUUAAGUGUAAAAUGCCUAGGCUUAACCUGGGUGGGUCAUUUAAGACUGUUUAUCUAGAGUAUGGGAGAGGGGGAUAGAAUUUCCGGUGUAGCGGUGAAAUGCGUAGAUAUCGGAAGGAAUACCCGUGGCGAAGGCGAUCCUCUGGCCUGAUACUGACACUGAGGUGCGAAAGCGUGGGGAGCAAACA